rnacentral:rRNA from 1 species
AUUGAACGCUGGCGGCAGGCCUAACACAUGCCAGUCGAGCGGAUGAAGGGAGCUUGCUCCUGGAUUCAGCGGCGGACGGGUGAGUAAUGCCUAGGAAUCUGCCUGGUAGCGGGGGAUAACGUCCGGAAACGGGCGCUAAUACCGCAUACGUCCUGAGGGAGAAAGUGGGGGAUCUUCGGACCUCACGCUAUCAGAUGAGCCUAGGUCGGAUUAGCUAGUUGGUGGGGUAAAGGCCUACCAAGGCGACGAUCCGUAACUGGUCUGAGAGGAUGAUCAGUCACACUGGAACUGAGACACGGUCCAGACUCCUACGGGAGGCAGCAGUGGGGAAUAUUGGACAAUGGGCGAAAGCCUGAUCCAGCCAUGCCGCGUGUGUGAAGAAGGUCUUCGGAUUGUAAAGCACUUUAAGUUGGGAGGAAGGGCAGUAAGUUAAUACCUUGCUGUUUUGACGUUACCAACAGAAUAAGCACCGGCUAACUUCGUG